rnacentral:rRNA from 1 species
UACGUAGGGUGCGAGCGUUAAUCGGAAUUACUGGGCGUAAAGCGUGCGCAGGCGGUUCGUUGUGUCGGCGGUGAAAGCCCCGGGCUUAACCUGGGAAUGGCCGUUGAAACUGGCGAACUGGAGUGUGGCAGAGGGGGGUGGAAUUCCGCGUGUAGCAGUGAAAUGCGUAGAGAUGCGGAGGAACACCGAUGGCGAAGGCAGCCCCCUGGGUCAAGAUUGACGCUCAUGCACGAAAGCGUGGGGAGCAAACAGG